rnacentral:lncRNA from 1 species
CAAGAAAAAAUACUUCCCCCAACUUGGUUUAGGGUCCUUUGGUGUCCCUAUCACUUAUUUAUGGCACUAAUUUUUUUUUUCUUGCUUUUUAGGGCCACUUGCGGCAUAUGAAAGUUCCCAGAGUAGGGAUCAAAUGGAAGCUGCAGCUGCUGGUCUACACCACAGCCAUAGAAACACCAGAUCCAAGCAGCAUCUGAGACCUACACCACAGCUCUCAGCAACACCGCAUCCUUAACCCAUCGAGUGAAGCCAGGGAUAGAACUCGAAUCCUCAUGGUUACUAGUCAGGUUCGUUACGGCUGAGCCACAAGGGGAACGCCUAUUGUCCUGAAACUUGAUAAAAAUCCAUAAAUCCCCAAUACUACAGCAGUUUGAGGCGUUUUCAGGACAGUAGCAUCCUUUGACAGUGUACCCUAAAUGAGGAGCCCCUGAGGUCGCCUUGCUGCAACACAGGGACCAGUCAGAUUGGGCUGCGGGGGGGGGGGGGUCCCCUCCCUGCCCCUCCCCCUUAUCAUUUUUUUGCAGGCUCCCAGUGCUUAAAAAAAAAAACACUCAGGGCCAAGAGGUUUAGUGAUACACGAGGAAAAUGACUGGCAGUAGUGGCCAGGAGGACCUGUUCUCACCGCCUCUCAGCACAAACCCCCACCCCAGAUCUCUAGAAACGGGGUUCCCUGCGCAACUGGAGUGAGAGUGGUGGACGAAGUAGAGGACUCUGCCGGCUCUUUCAGCUCCGCCCCUCACCUGAGCAAUCCCUCAGGUAGAAACCCACUUUUUUCUUUCUUAUCACAUUAAUUCUGGAAGCUAACUGCUACUGUCCUGGGGAGGGGAACAGGCGUUUUCUCCGAAAGGACUGACGGCAGCAACAAAUGGGAGAGACAACAGGCAAGCUUGUGAAAUCCCAAACCGGAUUGGCCCCUUGAUCUGUAACACCAGCCAGCUUCAUCAUCUCGCUGAUCACCCCAGGAAAGGAACCACCUGCAGGCUGCCUGGUGGCUCGGAGGUGUCCUGAGUGACCAUACUGCUUCCUACCGGCGCUCUGGGCUGGAUGCUGACAAAGCCAGAUGGGUAACUUU